rnacentral:rRNA from 5 species
GCUACACACGUGCUACAAUGGCGCAUACAAAGAGAAGCGACCUCGCGAGAGCAAGCGGACCUCAUAAAGUGCGUCGUAGUCCGGAUUGGAGUCUGCAACUCGACUCCAUGAAGUCGGAAUCGCUAGUAAUCGUGGAUCAGAAUGCCACGGUGAAUACGUUCCCGGGCCUUGUACACACCGCCCGUCACACCAUGGGAGUGGGUUGCAAAAGAAGUAGGUAGCUUAACCUUCGGGAGGGCGCUUACCACUUUGUGAUUCAUGACUGGGGUGAAGUCGUAACAAGGUAACCGUAGGGGAACCUGC